rnacentral:rRNA from 1 species
GACGGAGGAGGCUAGCGUUGUUCGGAAUUACUGGGCGUAAAGCGCACGCAGGCGGCGGGUCAAGUCGGAUGUGAAAGCCCGGGGCUUAACCCCGGAUGGGCGUCCGGGACUGACUUGCUGGAGUUAGGGAGAGGAGAGCGGAAUUCCCAGUGUAGAGGUGAAAUUCGUAGAUAUUGGGAAGAACACCGGUGGCGAAGGCGGCUCUCUGGCCCUUGACUGACGCUCAUGUGCGAAAGCGUGGGGAGCAAAC